AGAGUUUGAUCCUGGCUCAGGACGAACGCUGGCGGCGUGCUUAACACAUGCAAGUCGAACGGUGAAGGGGACUUCGGUCCCUGGAUCAGUGGCGAACGGGUGAGUAACACGUGGGCAACCUGCCCCUAGCUCUGGAAUAACCUCGGGAAACCGGGGCUAAUACCGGAUACGACCCUGCGAGGCAUCUCGCGGGGUGGAAAGUUUUUCGGCUAGGGAUGGGCUCGCGGCCUAUCAGCUUGUUGGUGGGGUAAUGGCCUACCAAGGCGACAACGGGUAGCCGGCCUGAGAGGGUGACCGGCCACACUGGGACUGAGACACGGCCCAGACUCCUACGGGAGGCAGCAGUGGGGAAUAUUGCGCAAUGGGCGAAAGCCUGACGCAGCGACGCCGCGUGAGGGAUGACGGCCUUCGGGUUGUAAACCUCUUUCGGUAGGGAUGAAGCCUUCGGGUGACAGUACCUGCAGAAGAAGCACCGGCUAACUACGUGCCAGCAGCCGCGGUAACACGUAGGGUGCGAGCGUUGUCCGGAAUUAUUGGGCGUAAAGAGCUCGUAGGCGGUCCGUCACGUCGGGUGUGAAAUUCCAGGGCUCAACCCUGGACCUGCAUUCGAUACGGGCGGACUAGAGUUCGGUAGGGGAGACUGGAAUUCCUGGUGUAGCGGUGAAAUGCGCAGAUAUCAGGAGGAACACCGGUGGCGAAGGCGGGUCUCUGGGCCGAUACUGACGCUGAGGAGCGAAAGCGUGGGGAGCGAACAGGAUUAGAUACCCUAGUAGUCC
rnacentral:rRNA from 1 species